CCUACGGGAGGCAGCAGUGGGGAAUUUUGGACAAUGGGCGCAAGCCUGAUCCAGCAAUGCCGCGUGAGUGAAGAAGGCCUUCGGGUUGUAAAGCUCUUUUGUCAGGGAAGAAACGGUGGGAGCUAAUAUCUCCUACUAAUGACGGUACCUGAAGAAUAAGCACCGGCUAACUACGUGCCAGCAGCCGCGGUAAUACGUAGGGUGCAAGCGUUAAUCGGAAUUACUGGGCGUAAAGCGUGCGCAGGCGGUUUUGUAAGUCUGUCGUGAAAGCCCCGGGCUCAACCUGGGAAUUGCGAUGGAGACUGCAAGGCUUGAAUCUGGCAGAGGGGGGUAGAAUUCCACGUGUAGCAGUGAAAUGCGUAGAGAUGUGGAGGAACACCGAUGGCGAAGGCAGCCCCCUGGGUCAAGAUUGACGCUCAUGCACGAAAGCGUGGGGAGCAAACAGGAUUAGAUACCCUGGUAGUCCACGCCCUAAACGAUGUCUACUAGUUGUCGGGUUUUAAUUAACUUGGUAACGCAGCUAACGCGUGAAGUAGACCGCCUGGGGAGUACGGUCGCAAGAUUAAAACNCAAAGGAAUUGACGG
rnacentral:rRNA from 1 species